ACUUCCCCUGUCACGACACAUAACAUUUUAGUAAUAUGUUUCCAUCAACGCACUAUGAUUCUAUACAUAAUGAACAAAGACUUGUUGACAAUAGUGAAUAGUUGAAGAGUUUCUGAAAUAUUUUGAAGGUGCAGAGAAGGUGGUUGGAUGGGCUUUAAGUCCUGGAGCUGAAGCAGAUUCCACAGAUUCUAGGGUUGUUUUGUCUAUAGAGAGCAUCCAGUACGGAAUCGGAAUUCUAAAAUGCAAUCCAGAAUGAUUCCAAAAGUUCAAAGAAAUCCCUGAAGGAUGUUGCGACUGAGAAUGAGUUUGAGAAGAGACUUGUAGCUGAUGUAAUCCCUGGUGUGACUUAUGAUGAUAUUGGAGCACUUGAAAAUGUCAAAGAUACACCGGAAGACUUGGUGAUACAGCGACCUGAACUUUUUUGCAAGGGCCAACUUGCAAAGCAUGCUGGGAAAAUGAAAAAUGAAUUUGUGGUAAACUGGGAUGGGCUGCGGACAAAAGAUAAAGAACGUGUUUUGGUACUUGCUGCCACAAUUGAUGAGGCUGUGAUUAGGCACGCAGGCAAAGCAGGUUCAGCUAUCUUUUGAACAUGUGGUAAUGGACACAAAUAUUAUAAGUUAUCGUUGAUGUUUGGAUAUUGUACCACGUACUUCUCCAUAGAUUGAUGGUGAACUUGCCAGAUAUAUAUGCUACCAACAGAGCAAAGAUACUAAGAGUGAUACUAGCAAAAAAAGACUUCCAGAUGUGGAUCUCGAUUCAGUUUGCAGGAAGUGAUCUUAAGGUUAGGGUUCGGUCUUUUUCUUGAUGAAUUCUUUGUAGAACUCGGCUGCCUAUCGAUAAUAUUUCUGUUUUUCCUUUUAGAAUUUGUGUGUGACGGCAGCACAUCGACCAAUUAGAGAGAUUUUGGAAAAGGAUAAAAAGCUAAGAUACACAUUCAUUGGCACAUAAGGGUUUAACCAAUGUUUUAAAAAUCGGAUCGGCCGACGAACCGGCGUCGUUACUGGUUCACUGGUUCAACCGGUUCACUGGUCGAACCAUUGGUUGAACCGGAAUAUAUAAUAAACACAUAUAUUAUAUAUUAUUAAGAAAUUUAAUAUUUUUAUGUAUUAAAAUAGAUGAUGUUUAUUAAUUUAAGAAAAUUUAUUUCAUAAAUUAAUAUUAUAAUUAAAUACGAAUUAGGUAUUAAGUUUAGAUAAAAAUAUCCAUUGAUGUCAAUAGCUAGGGUAUAUAAAUUAAGCAUGUAAUAUAAAAAAUUUAUUUAUAGUAAAUAAUGAAUCUUAUAUGGUACUAAUAAUAAUAUAGAUGGUAAGUAGAGCAUCAUUAAAAUAUAGAGGAUGAUAAUUAUUUAUAUUAUAAUUAACAAUUAUAUUAAAGAAUAUAAAAUUAAAAUGAAUUAUUAGUUUUUUUAGAUAAAAAUUUAAUGGUUAAUGUAUAAAAAUAUUUGAUGUUCAAAUUGUUCAAUGAGCUCAUGUGGUGGAGUGGUAGAGGUCUUCUUAUGUAGAAGAGAGGUCAUGAGUUCAACCCCUACCAACAACAAAUUUUAAAAAUUUUUAAACAAAACAAUAUUAAACCGGUUUCCGAUUCACGGUCCAAUCGGUCCGGCCGGCCGGUUCUACCGGUUCACAGCGGUUCAAUGCAUUGGUGGUUUAAAGGAGUGAACCGGACCGGACUACCUACCGGUUCGCGGUCCGACCGGUCGAACCGGCCGGUCCGGUCCGGUUUUUAAAACAUUGGGUUUAAUAUACUAAGGGUUUUGUUCUUGAUACUAGUGUAUGUACUUUUUCUUUUUUAGCCUGUCCCACAAGAGUAUACACUUUCCAAUUUUUGUAAACUCUAUUCUCUCUAAUAAGGUGAGACUCAUUCUCCCCUAACAAUACUUUAAUUACUUUUUCUUUCUACCUCUUUCUUACUUAAACAAUUAUGCAUUAAAAUCUGUGACCAACUAAAAGUGCAUACUCCUAUGAGACGGAGAGAGUAUCAAUUAUUUGAGGGAAUAAGUUAACAACUAUCCUAUUUAUGUACACAACCAGUUUCCAAAUGCAGAUUGCCCAUGCUAGCCAUACCAAAAUUUCUGUGUGUAUAUAUGUUGUCGAAAAAGUUUAACCAAAGUAGAUAUGUUGGAUUAUUAACCAUUCCCAUUUCUGGAAAUUCUACUGUCGAGUUAUAAUUAGUCUAUAACAAGAUCAAGAAGCUGCUCUUGCUGAAGGUAGACCUCCACCAGCAUUGAGUGAGAGCACUGAUAUACGCUCACUUAAUACAGAAGACUUCAAAUUUGCACAUGAGCGGGUUUGUGCAAGUGUCGAUAAACAUGACCGAGCUUCUUCAGUGGAAUGAGCUUUAUGAAUUAUGGUGAAGGAAGCAAUCCCUCAGCUACUUCAUGUGAUUACAACUGACAUUUGUAGAAAUGGCGCUUCUCUCUUCUUCAACUGUAUCAUCUCUCUCAACCGAACGAUUUUUUAUUCUGGAUUUGGUGUGGAAGCCACAUCAAUUGUAUACCUUGUACAUUGUGAUAGUUUUUUGUUGAGAUGUGAAAGGUUAGAAUAGCCUUGUUGUAAGUUAAAAUUAGUGGCGGCUCGCUCCGCCUUUGUUUUGUC